GCCAUUCAUCUGCAGAGUCAUUGGAGAAGUGGCUGCACUGUGCACGGUUUAACACGGUUUCUCUGUUGUUAACACUUCAGGACCGGGAUAUUUAGGGUCAUAUAUCAUGCUGGCAGAAGGAAGCCCCCCCCCCCCCCCCCCCCCCUGAGGGUGUAAUCUGAAGCCGCUAUUGUUGUAUCGUGGCAGCAGUAAGUCACUGCAGUCCUCGGGUUUCAGACAAGGACAGCGUGUUUUGACGCGCAAGGACAGCGUGGUGUUUUCAUCUCGACUUAAAAUGUCGCAAUGCUUGAGGAUAAGAAUAUGAAUGGCUAUCUUGGAAGUACGGGUUUCACGAUUGCGCAAGCUUCCUGGUUCGCGUGCAAAACAGCUGUUUGACGCCGUCUGCUGAGCGCGAGCUUGGACGCGACGCAAGGAGUUUGUUUCCCCACCAGCUCCUUUUUUGGACGCGUCUUCCGGCCGAUGUCUCUCCGUGGCUGACCGUGCGUGGACAGCAUCAUGUGGCGGGCGCGGUGCCAGGACAGCGGGGUCGAUCCCGAGCGCGAGCGGCUCUGGGCCGAGCUCUUCUUGCAGCUGGAUCUGAACAAGGACGGACGGAUCGAUGUGAACGAGCUGCGCGUCGGACUCUCCGCGCGGGGGAUGUCGUGGAGCUCGGUGGAGGAGCAGAUUGUACGAGCUGGAGAUGUUAAUAAAGACGGUCAGCUGGAUUUUGAAGAGUUCACCGAGUAUCUGCGUUCACAUGAGAAACGCCUCAGACUCAUGUUUCGCAGCUUGGACCGAAACAAUGAUGGUGAACUGGACGUCGGGGAGAUCCAGCAGUCGUUACACAAUCUCGGCGUGGACGUCACGCUGGAGCAGGCCGCCAAAAUCCUGCAAAGUAUGGAUAAAGACCAAUCCAUGACCAUCGACUGGUUCGAGUGGCGAGAUCACUUCCUGUUUAACCCUCUGCUCAACAUGGAGGAAAUCGCUCAGUACUGGAAACACUCAGUGAUGUUGGACAUCGGAGAGCAUCUGACGGUCCCAGACGAGUUCUCGGAGAAGGAGAAGCAGUCAGGGUUUGUGUGGCGGCAGCUGAUGGCAGGAGCCGUGGCCGGAUCUGUGUCCAGGACAGGAACCGCACCGCUCGACAGACUCAAGGUCUUUCUGCAGGUGCACGGCCAGAGCUCUGAUAAAGGGACUGUGUGGCGCGGCCUCCGUGCGAUGGUGAAGGAGGGUGGCCUCACUGCGCUGUGGAGGGGCAACGGCAUCAAUGUCCUGAAGAUCGCACCAGAGACAGCCAUCAAAUUCAUGGCCUAUGAGCAGAUUAAAUGCUUGAUGAGAGGCAGUAAAGAGGCAGGAACUCUGAAAGUUCAGGAGAGAUUCGUCGCUGGAUCACUGGCUGGAGCUACAGCUCAAACUGUCAUAUACCCAAUGGAGGUGCUGAAGACUCGUCUUACUCUUCGUAAAACAGGACAGUAUUCAAGUGUGGCGGACUGUGCUAAACAGAUCCUGCAGAAGGAGGGCGUUCUGGCCUUUUAUAAAGGAUACCUGCCCAACAUGCUGGGCAUCAUCCCGUACGCUGGCAUAGACCUCGCCGUCUACGAGACGCUGAAGAACGCCUGGCUGCAGCGGUACGCAGAGGGCUCGCCCGACCCGGGCGUCCUGGUGCUGGUGGGCUGUGGGACUGUGUCCAGCACCUGCGGACAGCUGGCGUCCUACCCGCUCGCCCUCAUCCGAACACGCAUGCAGGCGCAGGCGUCAGUGAAGGGAGCUCCUCAGUUGUCCAUGUUGGCCCUCUUCAGGAGUAUCGUGUCCCAGGACGGAGUGGUGGGUCUCUAUCGAGGCAUCGCUCCCAACUUCCUCAAGGUCAUCCCGGCGGUCAGCAUCUCAUACGUCGUCUACGAGCACAUGAGGAAAGUACUGGGAGUGGGAACCUGAGAGAGAGAGAGACAGGUCAUGUGUGUGUGUAGAAAAAAUACAAUCAAAGACUUGUUUAUUUAAGCUACAAUAUAUUAAAUCACUGGAGGGAUGUUCACCAAAAACAUUGGAUGUGAGGAAGAACGACAAACUGAAACCAAACACUGAAAUAUGCAGAAUCUAAGAGGUGCUGUUCUGAUCCAAUCCUGAAUUACUGAGGUUCAUGAUGUGCUCUUCAUGUGUGUUUGUUGGUUAACAGGGCCCUGAUAUUCAGAUAUACAGGGUACGGCCCUCUGGAUGCGGUAAAAUGAACGUAAAGAAAAGUAUCGAGGAAUGCAAGGCAGAAGUUGCCACAGCAGUUUUAAAGUGUACUGGAUAUGAUUUUAACAUUAGUUAUUUUAAGGUUAGGAAUUUAGCUAGAUACUAACGUUAUAAAGCAAACAGUAGAUGGGGGGAAUCUAAACACACUUAAUGACCUAACACUGGCAUACUAUCUUACUACAAACUCAGAAGUACUUUUACUCUCUACUUUGUACAUUCAGUGUGUAGUGUAGGCAUGUGAAUUGGGACGCAGCCUUGGAAUUCAGUUUAUAUAUCUGUUAUCCUCAAUGUAUGAGAGACUGCAGGCUAAGGUUUGGAGCAGAA